rnacentral:rRNA from 1 species
AUUGAACGCUGGCGGCAUGCCUUACACAUGCAAGUCGAACGGCAGCAUAGGAGCUUGCUCCUGAUGGCGAGUGGCGAACGGGUGAGUAAUAUAUCGGAACGUGCCCUGGAGUGGGGGAUAACUAGUCGAAAGACUAGCUAAUACCGCAUACGUUCUACGGAUGAAAGUGGGGGAUCGCAAGACCUCAUGCUCCUGGAGCGGCCGAUAUCUGAUUAGCUAGUUGGUGGGGUAAAAGCUCACCAAGGCGACGAUCAGUAGCUGGUCUGAGAGGACGACGAGCCAAACUGGGACUGAGACACGGCCCAGACUCCUACGGGAGGCAGCAGUGGGGAAUUUUGGACAAUGGGGGCAACCCUGAUCCAGCAAUGCCGCGUGAGUGAAGAAGGCCUUCGGGUUGUAAAGCUCUUUUGUCAGGGAAGAAACGGUUCUGGAUAAUACCUGGAGCUAAUGACGGUACCUGAAGAAUAAGCACCGGCUAACUACGUGCCAGCCGCCGCAGUAA